UUAAGCGACUAAGCGUACACGGUGGAUGCCCUGGCAGUCAGAGGCGAUGAAGGACGUGCUAAUCUGCGAAAAGCGUCGGUAAGGUGAUAUGAACCGUUAUAACCGACGAUGUCCGAAUGGGGAAACCCAGUGUGAUUCGUCACACUAUCGUUAACUGAAUACAUAGGUUAACGAGGCGAACCGGGGGAACUGAAACAUCUAAGUACCCCGAGGAAAAGAAAUCAACCGAGAUUCCCCCAGUAGCGGCGAGCGAACGGGGAGCAGCCCAGAGUCUGAAUCAGCUUGUGUGUUAGUGGAACGGUCUGGAAAGUCCGACGGUACAGGGUGAUAGUCCCGUACACCAAAAUGCACAGGUUGUGAACUCGAAGAGUAGGGCGGGACACGUGGUAUCCUGUCUGAAUAUGGGGGGACCAUCCUCCAAGGCUAAAUACUCCUGACUGACCGAUAGUGAACCAGUACCGUGAGGGAAAGGCGAAAAGAACCCCGGCGAGGGGAGUGAAAAAGAACCUGAAACCGUGUACGUACAAGCAGUGGGAGCACCUUCGGGUGUGACUGCGUACCUUUUGUAUAAUGGGUCAGCGACUUAUAUUCUGUAGCAAGGUUAACCGUAUAGGGGAGCCGCAGGGAAACCGAGUCUUAACUGGGCGUUAAGUUGCAGGGUAUAGACCCGAAACCCGGUGAUCUAGCCAUGGGCAGGUUGAAGGUUGGGUAACACUAACUGGAGGACCGAACCGACUAAUGUUGAAAAAUUAGCGGAUGACUUGUGGCUGGGGGUGAAAGGCCAAUCAAACCGGGAGAUAGCUGGUUCUCCCCGAAAGCUAUUUAGGUAGCGCCUCGUGAAUUCAUCUUCGGGGGUAGAGCACUGUUUCGGCUAGGGGGUCAUCCCGACUUACCAACCCGAUGCAAACUACGAAUACCGAAGAAUGUUAUCACGGGAGACACACGGCGGGUGCUAACGUCCGUCGUGAAGAGGGAAACAACCCAGACCGCCAGCUAAGGUCCCAAAGUCAUGGUUAAGUGGGAAACGAUGUGGGAAGGCACAGACAGCCAGGAUGUUGGCUUAGAAGCAGCCAUCAUUUAAAGAAAGCGUAAUAGCUCACUGGUCGAGUCGGCCUGCGCGGAAGAUGUAACGGGGCUAAACCAUGCACCGAAGCUGCGGCAGCGACACUAUGUGUUGUUGGGUAGGGGAGCGUUCUGUAAGCCUGCGAAGGUGUGCUGUGAGGCAUGCUGGAGGUAUCAGAAGUGCGAAUGCUGACAUAAGUAACGAUAAAGCGGGUGAAAAGCCCGCUCGCCGGAAGACCAAGGGUUCCUGUCCAACGUUAAUCGGGGCAGGGUGAGUCGACCCCUAAGGCGAGGCCGAAAGGCGUAGUCGAUGGGAAACAGGUUAAUAUUCCUGUACUUGGUGUUACUGCGAAGGGGGGACGGAGAAGGCUAUGUUAGCCGGGCGACGGUUGUCCCGGUUUAAGCAUGUAGGCUGAUUGUCCAGGCAAAUCCGGAUAAUCAAGGCUGAGGUGUGAUGACGAGGCACUACGGUGCUGAAGUAACAAAUGCCCUGCUUCCAGGAAAAGCCUCUAAGCAUCAGGUAACAUCAAAUCGUACCCCAAACCGACACAGGUGGUCAGGUAGAGAAUACCAAGGCGCUUGAGAGAACUCGGGUGAAGGAACUAGGCAAAAUGGUGCCGUAACUUCGGGAGAAGGCACGCUGGUGUGUAGGUGAAGUCCCUGCGGAUGGAGCUGAGACCAGUCGAAGAUACCAGCUGGCUGCAACUGUUUAUUAAAAACACAGCACUGUGCAAACACGAAAGUGGACGUAUACGGUGUGACGCCUGCCCGGUGCCGGAAGGUUAAUUGAUGGGGUUAUCCGUAAGGAGAAGCUCUUGAUCGAAGCCCCGGUAAACGGCGGCCGUAACUAUAACGGUCCUAAGGUAGCGAAAUUCCUUGUCGGGUAAGUUCCGACCUGCACGAAUGGCGUAAUGAUGGCCAGGCUGUCUCCACCCGAGACUCAGUGAAAUUGAACUCGCUGUGAAGAUGCAGUGUACCCGCGGCAAGACGGAAAGACCCCGUGAACCUUUACUAUAGCUUGACACUGAACAUUGAGCCUUGAUGUGUAGGAUAGGUGGGAGGCUUUGAAGCGUGGACGCCAGUCUGCGUGGAGCCAACCUUGAAAUACCACCCUUUAAUGUUUGAUGUUCUAACGUUGGCCCCUUACCGGGGUUGCGGACAGUGUCUGGUGGGUAGUUUGACUGGGGCGGUCUCCUCCCAAAGCGUAACGGAGGAGCACGAAGGUUAGCUAAUCCUGGUCGGACAUCAGGAGGUUAGUGCAAUGGCAUAAGCUAGCUUGACUGCGAGCGUGACGGCGCGAGCAGGUGCGAAAGCAGGUCAUAGUGAUCCGGUGGUUCUGAAUGGAAGGGCCAUCGCUCAACGGAUAAAAGGUACUCCGGGGAUAACAGGCUGAUACCGCCCAAGAGUUCAUAUCGACGGCGGUGUUUGGCACCUCGAUGUCGGCUCAUCACAUCCUGGGGCUGAAGUAGGUCCCAAGGGUAUGGCUGUUCGCCAUUUAAAGUGGUACGCGAGCUGGGUUUAGAACGUCGUGAGACAGUUCGGUCCCUAUCUGCCGUGGGCGCUGGAGAAUUGAGGGGGGCUGCUCCUAGUACGAGAGGACCGGAGUGGACGCAUCACUGGUGUUCGGGUUGUCAUGCCAAUGGCACUGCCCGGUAGCUAAAUGCGGAAGAGAUAAGUGCUGAAAGCAUCUAAGCACGAAACUUGCCCCGAGAUGAGUUCUCCCUGAGACUUUAAGUCUCCUGAAGGAACGUUGAAGACGACGACGUUGAUAGGCCGGGUGUGUAAGCGCAGCGAUGCGUUGAGCUAACCGGUACUAAUGAACCGUGAGGCUUAACCUU
rnacentral:rRNA from 1 species